rnacentral:rRNA from 1 species
CAGCACCUCAAGUGGUCAGGAUGAUUAUUGGGCCUAAAGCAUCCGUAGCCGGCUCUGUAAGUUUUCGGUUAAAUCUGUACGCUCAACGUACAGGCUGCCGGGAAUACUGCAGCGCUAGGGAGUGGGAGAGGUAGACGGUACUCGGUAGGAAGGGGUAAAAUCCUUUGAUCUAUUGAUGACCACCGGUGGCGAAGGCGGUCUACCAGAACACGUCCGACGGUGAGGGAUGAAAGCUGGGGGAGCAAACCGGAUUAGAUACCCGAGUAGUCC